CACCCGCCCACGUGGCCAGCGCCCCGCCCUCUGAGUUCCGCCCAACCGGGCAAGACCCGAGCUGCUCCUGAGCGUGCGCAGAGACAAGGAGCGCCUGAGCUCGCAUUGAGUCCGCUGGUUUCCUUCUUGGACCAACAGAACGCGUAUGUUGGUGUUCCCGGUUGUCAGUUGUAGAAGAACAGAGAAAUAAAGGACCCUGAGACGUCCGCUGCCGCGGUAGCGGCAUUUUUCUCUUCCUCACAAAACAGUAUUGUAAAAACCUUACUGUUAAGAGUGAUUGGGGUGGUUUGGUUGGGCUAGAGUCAGGACAGAGGUGUCAAGCUGCAACUACAGCAGAUCUGGGACUUAAGGAGUUUGUCUCGGGCUGCUCAGCCUCCCAAGUGCGAGAACUGCAGACGCGAGCCACCACACCUGGCUUUCAAGGGAACUUGGACGGUUGGGAAAACAAUGAUCCAGAGAGGCAUUGCCAUCCAUACGAUUCUGACAACAAGUUCACUGUGCUGUGUCCAGAGGCGAUGAGAAAGAAGUGAUGUGUCUCCACUUGAAGAGUCAUAUACAUGACAAGGAUAACAGACAACGGUCAGGGGCUUGGAAGCAAAGGAUGAGGGGCCAUGAGACAUCUCGGAUGCACCCAGGAAAAUGUGACUCUGAUUCCUUGAAGCACUGCUUAUUGAAGCACGGUGUUGUAAGGACUUCCUAACAGAUAUAUUUACACGGAGUGCCUUGCAGUAUACCAGAGUCCCAAAACGACAAGAAGAUUAGGGGUGGUCCAUGUGCUGAGCCACCUAAAGGAUCCUUCCAUUUGACCAUAUUGAAAGAGGAUUGUGUAUGAGGAUGCCAAAAUCUAUCUUCAGCAGAUCUGCCGUCCUUGUCUAAUGGGAAAAAUGUAAUCCCUUGAGGAUUAUAAGAAUUCCCUGUUUC
ensembl:lncRNA